GUGGGGAAUCUUCCGCAAUGGGCGAAAGCCUGACGGAGCAACGCCGCGUGAGUGAAGAAGGUCUUCGGAUCGUAAAGCUCUGUUGUCGGGGACGAAUGUUGAGGCCUAGAACAUAGGUUUCAAAUGACGGUACCUGACGAGGAAGCCACGGCUAACUACGUGCCAGCAGCCGCGGUAAUACGUAGGUGGCGAGCGUUGUCCGGAAUUAUUGGGCGUAAAGGGAGCGCAGGCGGGAAGGUAAGUCUAUCUUAAAAGUGCGGGGCUCAACCCCGUGAGGGGAUAGAAACUAUCAUUCUUGAGUGCAGGAGAGGAAAGCGGAAUUCCUAGUGUAGCGGUGAAAUGCGUAGAUAUUAGGAGGAACACCAGUGGCGAAGGCGGCUUUCUGGACUGUAACUGACGCUGAGGCUCGAAAGCCAGGGGAGCGAACGGG
rnacentral:rRNA from 1 species